UUCAUAUUUUUUAUCAUGACAUAGCAACGUGAGACAUACAAAAAGUUCCAUCGGAAAUGCAGUCAUUACUAAUGAGACUAGUAUGGAUCACACGUAUUUAUAAUAGCAAACAUCUCAAUCAUUUCUCUCCAACAAACGAACAAUCUUAUAGGGAUUCACCUUAAAAAUAAAAAAUAAGGACACUAACAAUCACCAACAAGACAAACACAAACAAGAAACAAAAAAAAAGUUGA
rnacentral:lncRNA from 1 species